CCUACGGGUGGCAGCAGUGAGGAAUAUUGGUCAAUGGACGAGAGUCUGAACCAGCCAAGUAGCGUGAAGGAUGACUGCCCUAUGGGUUGUAAACUUCUUUUAUAUGGGAAUAAAACGUUCUACGUGUGGGAUUUUGUAUGUACCAUAUGAAUAAGGAUCGGCUAACGCCGUGCCAGCAGCCGAGGUAUUACGGAGGUUCCGAGCGUUAUCCGGAUUGAUUGGGUUUAAAGGGAGCGUAGGUGGGUUGUUAAGUCAGUUGUGAAAGUUGGGGGCUCAACCGUAAAAUUGCGGUUGAAAUGGGAAGACUGGAGAGCAGUAGAGGGCGGCGGAACUCGUGGUGUAGCGGUGAAAUGCUUAGAU
rnacentral:rRNA from 1 species